rnacentral:lncRNA from 1 species
CACAGCCCCGCCUUCCCAAAGAAUUGCCCCAAUUUGCCUUAUAAGGCAAAACUGAGGCUUCUAAUUUCUCUCCAUAAGACUAUAGGAAGUAGAAACAGCAGGUGCUGAGAGGCACGGCCCAUUGGCACAUUUCCACAGUGACUCAGUGAGUCUUCUUGGAAAACAGGCCCCAGUGAGGGUGCUCAUUUUUCAGCAGCCUCUCAGAGAUAGUGACAGGCCAUGAAGGGGUUGCCUGAUGUUGCUUGGUACUCGUCUCCAACAUGACUGCCUGCUCUGCCCAUUCCUUGGGGUCAACAGACAAUACACUCUGGUCCUUGGAGGCACUUCAAGAGGCUCCUUGUGGAUGGAUCAGUAGGAACCAAGAGCUGUGGCCCAACGUUUCAUCGGUUCGAAUCCUGGGUGUGGACACGGCACUGCUCAUCAAGCCACGCUGAGGCGGCGUCCCACAUGCCACGACUAGAAGGACCCCCAAAUGGCUACCACAGUAUCUCCAAUCCUCCUGCUCUUGCAAUGUGACCUCGUC